rnacentral:rRNA from 1 species
UGAACGCUGGCGGAAUGCUUAACACAUGCAAGUCGUGCGGUAACACUUCGGGUGACGAGCGGCGGACGGGUGCGUAACGCGUGAGAAUCUACCUUUUAGUGGGGGACAACUCGGGGAAACUCGGGCUAAUACCGCAUAUGUCCUACGGGAUAAAGCAGGGGACCUUCGGGCCUUGCGCUAAAAGAUGAGCUCGCGUGAGAUUAGCUUGUUGGUGAGGUAAAGGCUCACCAAGGCAACGAUCUCUAGCUGGUCUGAGAGGAUGAUCAGCCACACUGGGACUGAGACACGGCCCAGACUCCUACGGGAGGCAGCAGUGGGGAAUAUUGGACAAUGGGGGCAACCCUGAUCCAGCAAUUCCGCGUGUGUGAAGAAGGCCUGCGGGUUGUAAAGCACUUUCAGUAGCCAAGAUGGGAUUAUUCAUUAAUACUGGAUAGUCUUGACAUUAACUACAGAAGAAGCACCGGCUAA